rnacentral:RNase_P_RNA from 1 species
AGCAGGCCGGAUGACCGCGGUGAAAAUACGAGGAAAGUCCGAGCUCCACAGAGCAGGGCGCCGGAUAACGUCCGGUGGAGGCGACUCCAAGGAAAGUGCAACAGAGAGAUACCGCCGGCUUUUGCCAGUAAGGGUGGAAAGGUGAGGUAAGAGCUCACCGGCUGCUAUGGCGACACUGCAGUCCUGUAAACCCCGUCCGGAGCAAGAUUGAUAGCGGAACUUUUAACGGCUGCUCGCCGGUUCCCAUGUAAUCGCUUAAGUUUUUCGGUAACGGAAAAAAUAGAUAGAUGGUCAUCUAAGACAGAACUCGGCUUAUAGACCUGUCU